UACGAAGGGGGCUAGCGUUGCUCGGAAUCACUGGGCGUAAAGGGUGCGUAGGCGGGUCUUUUAAGUCAGGGGUGAAAUCCUGGAGCUCAACUCCAGAACUGCCCUUGAUACUGGCGGUCUCGAGUCCGGGAGAGGUGAGUGGAACUGCGAGUGUAGAGGUGAAAUUCGUAGAUAUUCGCAAGAACACCAGUGGCGAAGGCGGCUCACUGGCCCGGUACUGACGCUGAGGUGCGAAAGCGUGGGGAGCAAACAGG
rnacentral:rRNA from 1 species